CCCAGCCCCAAAAAUACAAUUUUUCCAAUUCCCACUACUUUCUUCUACUUCCCUCUUCCUUGUUUUUCAAUUUUUCAUCUUCCCUCCCUUUCCUCUGGCCCUGAUUUGAUUCCUAUCCAAAUAGAUCCAUUUACAGCAGUUGAGGAGAAAAGCACCCGACCACCAUCGCUGCACCCCAAUGACCGUCGACCACCCUUCUUUUCUUCUAAUCUAUUGGCUUCUAAGCUGUUUGCAGAAUGGGAGAUGAAUGAGCCUGGGGCUAAGCGCCCUAAAUUCAGCAUGUUGGUUCAAUCGAGAUUCUUAGUUUUACCCGGUCAUUUUCUUUAUACGACCCACAAUUUGUAGUUGUAUAGGAAAUGUUUGAAGGUUUAGUAAGGCAGGUUAUCUUGGGCAAUAUAUUAAAGAUAUACACAGGGAGCAACUCAAGAUUACACUCUAGAAUGAGGAAGUAUUAUUGGAAAAUGCGGAGUUAAUUCUAGAGGUUUUUGACACGUCGCUUUAAAGCAAGGAGAUUAGCGGCGGCGGUACUUUUAGGUUUGAAAGUUUUGAUGUUCCCUCUUAAAUCGCGCCGCUAACCUAAUUUCUGAUCGAAAGGAAGAACUAACUAGAGGAGUGGUUCAAUCGCGAAAGGACAAAAGGGCUACGAAAAGUUCAAUCGCAGUUUCAACCCACCUUAAAUCCUCCUAGGUGUUAAGCCGAUCUGGUCAGGUGGACUCUUCUUUCGUGACUCGUCUAACUCGUUGUCAGGUGAUGACAAUUCCGACAACGAAGAGCUUAAAGUGAUGUCAAAAGAAGUUGAGUAUAAUCAGUUGGCUGAUGUAGCGACAAUAAGUAAUAAGUGUCACACCCCCAAAAUCCACGCGCGGAGUACCACCGCAUGGAGGCGUGACAUGACCAGGAUCAAGCCACCAAUCAUAUUGAACAAUAUAAAUAUUAAAAGUAAUUCAACCAAACAACAUGAAAGGCGUUCAAAACAUAAGUAUAGUUUCAAUGUUUAGCAAAAGCAUAAAAGUAAACCCAACAUAAGUAUCAAGUUUAAAAAGACAAAAGUGUUUAACAUGGCAUCCACAAUCCAUGUCCUACAACGACCGCGCCUCCCUGUGCAAGCUCUAUGAGUACCUAACGACCUGCAAGGCAUGCAACAGAGAGUUAACAACAAAGUUGAGCGAGUUCACAGUUGAUUGUUCAGUUAUAGUAUUCAUUUCGUAAACCGUUUGUUCGUUUAGUAAACCAUGUAUCGUAUAUAUUUGUAUCGCGGCCCUCCAGGCAUGUUUGCGAAGAUUAGUGGGAGUUUCCCAUGUAUUCUAGACUAGUUAUAUUUGUAUCGCGGCCCUCCAGGCAU